rnacentral:rRNA from 1 species
UACGUAGGUGGCAAGCGUUGUCCGGAUUUACUGGGCGUCAAGAGCGCGCAGGCGGUCGUUCAAGUCGCGUGUGAAAGCCCCCGGCUCAACUGGGGAGGGUCACGCGAUACUGAUCGACUCGAAGGCAGGAGAGGGAAGUGGAAUUCCCGGUGUAGUGGUGAAAUGCGUAGAUAUCGGGAGGAACACCAGUGGCGAAGGCGACUUCCUGGCCUGUUCUUGACGCUGAGGCGCGAAAGCUAGGGGAGCAAACGGG